AGCUCCCUAAAGCAGUGGUCAGUGUACCCGUCUGGAAAACGGGUGAUGUAGGUUCAAAUCCUACCGGUGUCU
rnacentral:tRNA from 1 species